GUCAGGACGGUUCGAGUAAGUGAUAUUUCGGAACAGAAUCUAGUUCCUUCAAAACCAACGUAUUCUAGUAAUAUGAAUUUUUUCUGCGUUGGUGUAGUGUACUCAGGUGAAUAUGAUAUUUGUGGUGUUACUCUGAGUAUAAUCUUUGGAAUUCUGCAUUCUAUUUUUAAAUUAUUGAACACACAUAUAAAUACUUUCUUGUGCUUUGCUAAAAUCUUGCUAGGAAAGGUUCCGAUAUACUCUCACAACAUCUCAAUCAACUAUAGUUCAUGUUCUGUUUGUU